AAAUAAGCGCUCUUGAGGAGAGGAAAAUAAAACAGCCCGCUAGUUAUCAGUCAAUAAGAGCCCCUAAUUGAUGCAAGUCAAUUAAGCAAACCGGAAGAAUUGCAGGAAUAGUUUCCUACAUUGGAGACCUAAUCUGCAGCGGAGCUUACUUCAGCAUUAUUAAGAAGUAAGAACGUUUAACGACUAAUGCGUGAGUUAUGAUAACGAUAAUCGCAGCAAGAGCAUCCGGCACUUCAGUAAUGAGGUGAUGAUAUAGUCUGAUCAGCAGUGUAAACUGUUG
rnacentral:ncRNA from 1 species